UACGUAGGAGGCGAGCGUUGUCCGGAAUUACUGGGCGUAAAGAGCGCGUAGGCGGCACGGUACGACCGGUGUGAAAGCCCCCGGCUCAACUGGGGGAGGGUCACCGGUAACGGUCGAGCUAUGAGUGCAGGAGAGGGAAGUGGAACUCCGGGAGUAGCGGUGAAAUGCGUAGAGACCCGGAGGAACACCAGUGGCGAAGGCGGCUUCCUGGUCUGCGACUGACGCUGUGGCGCGAAAGCUAGGGAGCAAACGGG
rnacentral:rRNA from 1 species